GCCAAAAAUAAUUAUAAUCCUGGCAGCACUGAAUUUAAUUUGAUUUUUGUAUUGUCGCGGAUGCGGACGGCUAGCUGAUGACGGGCUGAAAAGUUCUCGAUAUCUUCUUCGACAUUCUAAGCAUUCAGGUUACUGAAUUUCCGGACUCCCUAUCAUUAAAUAAUAGAUAUAGGUAAUUUGGUGGGAGGUGACAUGUGUGCUGUUAUUCUUGGGUGAGUUUAGGUACCUAUAUGUAAAAAAAAUAUUUGUUAUAAAAUAAAGAGGUAUUUAUAAA